UCCAAGUAAACAUGCAUCGGAUAGGAUCUAUGCCUUGUUCUUGUACAGCUCCGUGGUUUUGCAGGUGCUUACAAAAUACUGUAUUUAUUUAUUGUUUUAUUUAUAGUUAAAUUCAUACCCCACCUUUCAUUAAGAAAAUCUCAAGGCUGCUCAAGGCUUACAUCUCAAGGCUGGAUAAUAUAUUUUAAACACUUCUGAAUACUUCCGCUUAACCAGCUUGUGUGUCUCAAGUUGCUUUGUAAAUUUAGAUAUAAACUCUUUGGGCCUGGCUGGUUUGUAGAGCAGAAUCCCUCUCCAGUAAUUGUAUAAUGCAUGGUAUCAAAUGCAUCUCUUUGCAGCUAGUUGCUUGGGCUUAGAAGGGAUUUUCUGGUGCUUCCACGGCAAAAGUAAUAGAGAUGCAUUCUGUGAUUUGUGCUGAGAUAGGAGAAAUCCCACCAUUCAAUGUCACAGCAACCACACAAAUUGGUACAAUGAAAGCCUCAGGGGCUUGAUCUGUCCAGGACUAUUUAUGUUAGGGGUGGGGGAGUGUAAGUAUUUAAGGUUAUUAAACCAAUUUCCAUGGCUGUCGCAAAUGUUAUGCUAAUUCGAAAAGGACUCAUCGUGCCUCCAAAACCUACUUGUCUCCAGCAUUUAAUUUUAAUUAAUACACUUUUUUUCCCCCUAGGAGCCCUUUUUUCUUGUGUGUUUGCAAGAAGGAAUGUGUGAUUAACCCUCCUUCAGAAAGACAUAUGGUUUCAAAUUGGUUUCUUCUCAUUUCCAUUUUAAUUUCUUCAUUUUAUUUUUCAGAAGGGUAGCUUAUCAGUGUUUCCCCCCUCCUUCCUAAAGCCACACUAAAACAAAACACAAAAAAAACUGGUGGUGGGAGUGGAUCUGAUACUUCUGUGCAAAAUAAAUGAUAAUCAUCAUUUUCAAUAUAGCAGACUGAUGGGAUGCCAGAAAGGGCUUUAAAAAAAACAACAGAGGUUUAAUUUAGAAAUGAAUCAUGAUGUUCAGAUAAACAUUUAUUAAUUCAGCCUCAGAGCCCUAGAAAUGGAGUUAACUGGGAUUAUUUAAAUGCAGAACAGUUUAAUUGUUCUUCUUCCACAAUCAACGAAAAAGCUGCAGCAUAAAAAUGUGUUAAGUACUAUUUUAAAAAGAAACAAGCUCCUUUUUCCCCCCAAAUUGGAGACUUUCACUAAUAACAAUGGGAUUUAUAAUUGCUCUCUUUUUAGAUAAUAAUGGCUGAAAAGCUUGACUUCUCCUAGAGUUACCAGCUUAUGAAAGAGUCUCAUAGUCUUAUAAGAAGUAAGAGAUGCUGCCUGGACAGAGUCACCUGUUCCAAACUAAAGAGCCCCAGAUGCUGUAGCCUGGACUCAUAGGGAAGGUGCUCCAGGCCCCUGAUCUUCUUCGUUGCAUGGAACCUUUUUCCAAAGACUUCCUUUCUUCAUCCCAGAAUUCCCAGCAACAGCUCUCUAGGUCCCACCCACCUGGU